rnacentral:rRNA from 1 species
UACGGAGGGGGCAAGCGUUGUUCGGAAUUACUGGGCGUAAAGGGCGCGUAGGCGGCCUGCUAAGUCGAACGUGAAAUCCCCGGGCUCAACCCGGGAACUGCGUCCGAUACUGGCAGGCUUGAAUCCGGGAGAGGGAUGUGGAAUUCCAGGUGUAGCGGUGAAAUGCGUAGAUAUCUGGAGGAACACCGGUGGCGAAGGCGGCAUCCUGGACCGGUAUUGACGCUGAUGCGCGAAAGCCAGGGGAGCAAACGGG